GUUAUCUCUAAACUACGUUUACUUUUUAUGUUGAACCUCUUUUCCACAGUUUUUUCACUUAGUUCCACGACUGCAGUGAAUUUUAUAGUUAAUGUUAAAAUCCAACACAGAGUCUGAAGCGAUGGAGGAAAUUUACGUCAAUAUGGAACCUGUUGGACAAACUGCAUCUAAUCACACAGGUUGGAGCAGCUCCAAAGAGAGACUCGGCCUCGGUGUGGUCGUAUGCUUGGGAAUCCUGAAUGUUUUAAUUCUGGCUGAACUCAUAGGCCUCAGUGUACACACUCAUAACAUGACAGCAGAUUUUUCUGACAUCGGCAACAUGCUGACUGAACAGAACAGCAAG